UAAGAGGUCCCGCCUGCCCUGUGACUAUAUGUUUAACGGCCGCGGUAUCUUGACCGUGCAAAGGUAGCGCAAUCACUUGUCUUUUAAAUGAAGACCUGUAUGAAUGGCACAACGAGGGCUCAACUGUCUCCUUUUUCUAGUCAAUGAAAUUGAUCUCCCCGUGCAGAAGCGGGGAUUAUCCCAUAAGACGAGAAGACCCUGUGGAGCUUUAGACAAAAGCAGAUCACAUUAACCUUCUUAAAUUAAAAAGCAAGACCAAUCUGAAACCUGCCCUUAUGUCUUUGGUUGGGGCGACCGCGGAGAACCAAAAAUCCCCCGCGUGGAAUAAGAGCAGCCUCUUACAACCAAGAGCGACAGCUCUAAGUAACAGAACCUCUGACCCUUACUGAUCCGGUAUUUCCGAUCAACGAAACAAGUUACCCCAGGGAUAACAGCGCAAUCCUCUUUUAGAGCCCAUAUCCGACAAGAGGGUUUACGACCUCGAUGUUGGAUCAGGACAUCCUAAUGGUGCAGCCGCUAUUAAGGGUUCGUUUGUUCAACGAUUAA
rnacentral:rRNA from 1 species